CAGAUUAGGCAUGCUAGGUAAAGAAGUAAGCAAUAAAAAGUGCAGAAUAUAAAGCAUACAUUGAACAUGACAGAGUUUUAGAAAUUUUAGGCAAAAAAGAAUGCAAAAUAUAAAGCAUACAUUGAAUAGGGCAGAGUUUAGACAUGUUGAGCAAAGAAGUAAGCAGGAAUACAAGUUGAAUUCAUAGCUGAUGAACUAGUGCAAGAAUGAAACAUAUAGGGUUUGGAUUUCAAACUUAAUUAGAGACAUACUAGUUAAAGAAAGGGUGCAUAAUAUAAAGCAGAUGAAGUUUCAAUAUUUAGCCUUGACUUUCAGCCCGCUAGAUCAGUUAGUAUCGCAAGUAGCAAAAGAGAAAAAGAAAGAGAAAGAGUGUAAA
rnacentral:lncRNA from 1 species